UCAGACGAUGCGUCAUGCAUAUCAAUAAGCGGAGGAAAAGAAACUAACAAGGAUUCCCCUAGUAACGGCGAGUGAAGCGGGAAGAGCUCAAAUUUGAAAUCUUAAAGGGUUUCCCUUUACGAAUUGUAGUUUAAAGAAGUGUUUUCUGUUGAGGUUUUGGUAAAAGUUCUUUGGAAUAGGACAUCAUAGAGGGUGAGAAUCCCGUAUUUGACCUUUACUUUCAACUUUGUGAUACACUUUCAAAGAGUCGGAUUGUUUGGGAAUGCAGUCCAAAAUGGGUGGUAAAUUUCAUCUAAAGCUAAAUAUUGGCGAGAGACCGAUAGCGAACAAGUACCGUGAGGGAAAGAUGAAAAGAACUUUGAAAAGAGAGUCAAACAGUACGUGAAAUUGUCAAAAGGGAAGCGUUUGACACCAGUGUUGUUUUUCUGAAAAUCAAUUAAAGAACUGUUUAUGCUAAGUUGUUUAGACUUUAUCAGCUAUCUGUUUAGUUUUGAGCUUUUCUUUAAUGCACUUUUCAGUUAACAAGUCAACAUCAAUUUCUUUUGCUGUAAAAAAGCUUGAGGAAGGUGGCUUGAGAUUCGUCUUAAGUGUUUAUAGCCUCUUGCCUAUGCAGUCGGAGAGAUUGAGGUCUGCAGCGUAGAUCCUUCGGGGCUAAAUGCAUUUGUGCUAAGUUAUAGCAUUUCUAUAGACAACUUGUUGACUAUGAUUUGUCUUGUAGCUUACUCGCUUAUGUUAUUUUACCUACGCUUAGGAUGUUGAAUCUGUGCGAGACUAC
rnacentral:rRNA from 1 species